rnacentral:siRNA from 1 species
GGGCUUUGGCAAUGGGUUAC